rnacentral:rRNA from 1 species
GAUGAACGCUGGCGGCGUGCCUAAUACAUGCCAGUCGAGCGAACAGACGAGGAGCUUGCUCCUCUGACGUUAUCGGCGGACGGGUGAGUAACACGUGGAUAACCUACCUAUAAGACUGGGAUAACUUCGGGAAACCGGAGCUAAGACCGGAUAACAUGUUGAACCGCAUGGUUCAACAGUGAAAGACGGUCUUGCUGUCACUUAUAGAUGGAUCCGCGCCGCAUUAGCUAGUUGGUAAGGUAACGGCUUACCAAGGCAACGAUGCGUAGCCGACCUGAGAGGGUGAUAGGCCACACUGGAACUGAGACACGGUCCAGACUCCUACGGGAGGCCGCAGUAGGGAAGUUUCCGCAAUGGGCGAAAGCCUGACGGAGCAACGCCGCGUGAGUGAAGAAGGUAUUCGGAUCGUAAAACUCUGUUAUUAGGGAGGAACAAAUGUGUAAGUAACUAUGCACGGCUUGACGGUACCUAAGUAGAAAGCCACGGCUAACUACGUG